GCUUUUGUUUCGCAGUUGGGGCAUCUACGUGUUAAAUCACUUCAAACAUUUAAGAGUCAGCUGGAACAAUUAUUACGUAGAGGAGAAGCAUUUGCGGCAUCUGUUCGUACAUGCUCUGAGUCUUGUAUCACUGAAUUUGAUAAGGGAUGUUCAGAUGCUGCCAUAAGACAUGCUAAUUGGGAUGCUUCAAAAUUUCGUGACAAACUCAUUCGUGAUAUUGAGGCCCAUGUGUCCUCUGUUCGUAAUGAUAAGUUAUCUGAACUGAAGGCCAUUUAUGAGAAACAAAUCACAAUUGCACUUGCUGAACCUGUACAAUCCCUUUUUGAUGUUGGUGGGAGUGAAACAUGGGCCUCAAUAAGAAAGCUUCUAAAACGCGAGACAGAUGUGGCUAUAUCAUGCUUCUGCCCAGCACUUUCCGGCUUUGAAUUGGACCAGUACGCAUUUGACAGAAUGAUGCAAAGUCUGAAAGACUACGCUAGAAGUGUUGUGGAGAAAAUAGCAAGAGAAGAAGCUGGAAAAGUUUUGAUGCAAAUGAAGGAUAGGUUUAAUACUGUGUUCAGCCAUGAUAGCGAUUCAAUCCCAAGGCUUUGGACAGGGAAGGAGGACAUUAAAUCAAUAACAUUGGAGGCCCGCUCUGAGUCUCUGAAGUUUUUGUCUAUAGUGGCUGCCAUACGGUUGGAUGAAAAAUCAGACAGAAUAGAAAGCAUACUUUUCUCCAGACUCUUGGAAGGGAAGAUUUCAAUUUCUUCUCGGAAUAGUGAUAUUGCAGAUUCUUGUGACCCCCUUGCCUCAAGCUCAUGGGAAGAGGUUUCACCAGAGAACACAUUGCUCACACCAGUGCAGUGUUUAUCUUUGUGGAGACAAUUCAUGGCAGAAACCGAGUAUAUUGUUAGUCAAGCUAUUUCAGCACAGGAAGCAUACAGGCAAAGCAAUAAUUGGUUACCUCCUGCCUGGGCUAUAGUGGCUAUGAUUAUACUUGGUUUCAACGAAUUCAUGCUUCUUUUAAGAAAUCCUCUCUACCUCUUCAUGCUUUUUGUUGUAUAUUUAUUUGGGAAAGCUCUGUGGAUACAGAUGGACAUUCCUGGGGAGUUCCGGAAUGGCAUUCUGUCUGGACUUAUUUCCAUCUCAUCAAGGUUCCUUCCAACUGUUAUGGAUCUUCUUCGACGGCUAGCUGCUGAAGGCCAGGGAAAUCCUGCUCCUGGAACUUCCAGGGCUUCCCAACACGUUUCUUCUCAGAGCUUUAGGAGUCAAGUUAAUAGUCCUAACCCUGUUUCGAGUUCAGUUCCCAGUUCAUCUGUCUCAUCCAACGUCUUAACCGAAAAUGACGUUGAAUACACGAGCCGAUAGCUGACACACAUCAAGUGGAACAAGAACAAUCUUCUCAAUGAAGCAGAAUAGUGUUAAUACCAUCUCCGCUAGAACAGAAGCUGCUCUUGUAAAUGAUGUUGCUUCUUUCUUAACCCAUAGUCCUAGAUGAUGUAGUGCUUAUAGUGUAGCUUUUGAAGUUUGUGAGU
rnacentral:misc_RNA from 1 species